rnacentral:lncRNA from 1 species
CUACAGUGUGGCAUAUUACCUUUCUGUUACACUUAAUACAUCUACUUUUUUCUCUGUUCCAGACUGCUUACCAGGAGCUUCUGCCUGCAAAGAAGGGAAAGAGGAGAGUAGACAAUUGAGUGCUGGGUGACGGGGACACCAGGCAACUGUUCCCAGAAAGUGUAGAGCAAGCGCAUCAUUAGAUAUGUUCGGCACAAGCUCAGGAUACUGAAACAGCGCUGUUUGCAUAGUCCGCCCUCUUCCUCUGAAGUAAGAUGGUUUAGGUUCGGAGCUAGAGUGCAGGGAUGCAAUUUGCACCUUUUAUGUGGCCUCACAGUGCUGGCAACCGCAAAGGAGAAUAUGUGAGAGAGACUUACAGUGCUCCCUCGCUCCUUUCUACUACUAGCCUUCUGCUAACUUUGCAGGUAACAAAAACUGAUAGAACACCAGCUGCCAGUAACCUAUGUGACCAAGCCGACUGCACAAGUCCCCAGCACCUUCUUCAUCCUACAGUCUGAGGGGGAAGAAUAAAUUAAUAUAUAAUGAUUUCAGCAAUAAGGCUGCACUGCCUGGCCCCCAGUUACAACUGCACCAGGAAACCUAUCUUUAAGUUGUUUUCCAGGCCCAGAGAUUUCUGGGAGGGGCUUGUGUUGAAUAC